CUUCAGUAAUUGGCUCAGGUGAAAAAAUCACUUCUUUGUUAUCAGGGCAAACCUCUGGGAAAAUUAACCUUGUCUUGUAGGAUGAUUAUCUGGGAAGUUGGCCUAGAAACAAGCUGUAGCCCUGCCGGAUGGUGAAGGAGCUGAGCUCCGAUGGCGUAAGGAAGGGGUGGCUCUCCCCAGCACCCGGGGCCACGCGACUGCAUUUCCAGGAUGAGAUAAAUGUGGAACUGAGUCCUUUGAGGCCUUUGGGACAUGCAGGUCUGAACCCUGCGACUCCCCACCUCGUGUCUCUAGACUGAAGCUGCCAGGGGCUGAAACCGCAUUCAUGGAAAAAUGCGGUUUUGUGGAUGGUCCCCAAGCAAUGUCUGCUAACAGUACAAGUAAUUCUGUCCACAUGCCUCUGUGGAAGGUGUCUUGAUUUUAACAGAAGGUGCUGCCCUUCCUUUACCUUUUCUUAAGCUACCCUGCAGAGGUCAGGGGAGGAACUACUCUGACUCGGGCUUCCAGAGAGCAGGCAGAUCCUGAUAGCUGAUGCCCUUUGCUGUGACUAUCCAUUUGAAUUUUCAAGAUUGCCCAGUUUCCAAGGCACAAACAGAGCCCAGUCUCCACUGGAGCCCUGCAGGACUACAGGAACGAGUAAAGCAUGGCAAUAGAAGGUAACAGUGAUGCUGUUGUUGCUGCUCUACAAAUGGUCAGUAAACAGACAGCGAGGCUAAGCGAUGCACCCCAGAUCAUGCAGAAGUCUAACGGAGCAAGACCAUACUUAGCUAUUUCCAGAGGGAUUACAGAAACAACCAAGCUAACCUUGGAGCCAAAAGCAUGGUGCAGAGACAUCCUAAUUGUCUCCCUGUGA
rnacentral:lncRNA from 1 species